UGUGAAGAAGGCCCUCGGGUUGUAAAGCACUUUCAGCGAGGAAGAACGCCUAGCGGUUAAUACCCGCUAGGAAAGACAUCACUCGCAGAAGAAGCACCGGCUAACUCCGUGCCAGCAGCCGCGGUAAUACGGAGGGUGCAAGCGUUAAUCGGAAUUACUGGGCGUAAAGCGCGCGUAGGUGGCUUGAUAAGCCGGUUGUGAAAGCCCCGGGCUCAACCUGGGAACGGCAUCCGGAACUGUCAAGCUAGAGUGCAGGAGAGGAAGGUAGAAUUCCCGGUGUAGCGGUGAAAUGCGUAGAGAUCGGGAGGAAUACCAGUGGCGAAGGCGGCCUUCUGGACUGACACUGACACUGAGGUGCGAAAGCGUGGGUAGCAAACAGGAUUAGAUACCCUGGUAGUCCACGCCGUAAACGAUGUCGACCAGCCGUUGGGUGCCUAGCGCACUUUGUGGCGAAGUUAACGCGAUAAGUCGACCGCCUGGGGAGUACGGCCGCAAGGUUAGAACUCGGAUGAAUUGACG
rnacentral:rRNA from 1 species